UCCAGUGAUGAUUAAAUCUUUGAGACCUGAUUGUCUAAUUUGAUGACAAAUUAUAAGCAAAUUUCUCUGAGGAU
rnacentral:snoRNA from 1 species